rnacentral:rRNA from 1 species
AUGGGCUGUCUUCUUAAUUUUGUCCGGACCGAGGUUCCUCUUAGGCUAGUUAAGUGGCUUGCAUCUAGGUUCGAUGUUCCUGCUUCUGAGUUUCAGUUGAAAAGGAAAUUCAUACCCUUAACUAAGUAUGAUAUCCAUGACAUCCUUGACCUCCCAGUAGACUGUGAGCCCGUUGUUUCAGAUCCUGAAGCUGGUCGUGAUUUUAUCCUUUCUCAUUUCAAUCUUACCAGUAUCCCACCAGUGUCCUUUUUUGCCAACAAGCUAAAAUCUGCAGAAGUUGAUUUGUCUGAUGAGGACGUGUUCAUUUGUUUCAUGAUUGUGGCUUGCUCUACUUUCCUUUGUCCCAACUCUAGUCUUAGUCCUAGUCCGAAGUACCUCCACAUCUUUCAGGAUUGUCAGUCUGUGUGUGCCUAUGAUCUUUCUAGUUUUGUUUACGAGUGGCUUUUGAGUAGCAUCAAAAAAAUUCAAGGAUGCUACUAA